rnacentral:misc_RNA from 1 species
ACUUUAGAGAAAAUUCGACCUUAAAUUUUUAAGUGUUGAUGAAUCAAAAUCUUCAUUGGAAGAUCACAUCGUAUCUUCUCCUUGAAUGGUAUUAAUAAAAUUGGCUUGAACAAAAUUGGUUUGAGUAAAUUUUGAAUCUUUCUUAGCAUACUUAGACUCACUUGGACAAAUAAAACCAAUAAAAACACUAGAAAAAUUGUUAAAAAAAAUUUCAAUCUUCAUUGAAAUCUCCUUGGCUUGAUGUCCUUCUCUCCCUAGGACACUCUUUUCAAACUCUUCAUUAUCUACCAUAGCAAAAAGCUUUGCAAAAGUGUCAAAUUCUAAUUCAAUAUGAUCCCUUUGUUCUACAUAAUCUUUUAAUGGCUUGUCUGUAAUUUUUGGUAUGAACAUUGACCCCUUCAUUAAGCAUGUCGGUUCAUCUUGUUCAUAAUCUUCCUCUUCAUCCUCUCCAUCAGGUUCACAAUAAAUUUCAUCAUCA